AGUGCUGUCGGAGCGGGUGACGCGGAGUUUUCCCGCAGCGCCGGGCGGAGGGAUGCGCUUCCCGGAACGGGCACGCGGGAGGUCCAGCGAUCCAGCAGCUCUUCUCCCCCGCCGGACCGGGUAAAGACAAUACUGGCCUCAGGAAGAGGCCUGCCUCAGGCAGAUUUCCCCCAAACCCCGAGUGAAAGGACUUGGGUUUGAAGAAAGCAAAAACCACAAAAUCCAGGGUCCACUCCUGUCCAAGUCAGCGCACACCCAAAGCCAAGGGCGUGGAAAGGCCCAUCCCUCUCUCUUCCUCAAGGCCAGACGCAUGGGACGCCAGAGGCUCAGAUCCAGGAACCGAGAGAUCCUGAAUCAGAUUUCACAUAACUCUCGCCUGUUCCAAGGCUGCAACUGCAGAGAUCAGCUCAGGUUUAUUUUUAGGCACUCCAGUCCUGUGCUUUUUUUUCCAGUAAUUCUGAUCAAACUUGUUCCUGGAAUUCAGAAACAGGUUCAGCCACAAGACCAUGUCCUGUGUCUAAGAUGCAACUCCCAGCAAAGGUGCCAGGGUCAUUAAAGGAAGAAAUGACAGAUGCUGGCAUCACUUUAUCAUUUUCUACUUUAUUACUUCAAAUUAACAACCACGAUAAAGCUCAAAAAAGUCCAAUAUUUACACAGGAAAAAAGUACAAAAUCCCCCCCAAAGUUCUUCAGGUUUUUUUUUGUUUUUUUAAAUUACAAAGUAAUAAAAAGUUUUGCUCUUUAAUUAAAAAAAAGAGAGAGACAGUAAGAGGGGUAAAUAAAUUAGGAAAAAAACAGGGAGGAAAAAUAAAGUGUUAAAUAGAAAGGGUAAAAACAAACAAAACAAAGACUAACCCCACCCUCCCCGCCCUGCCAACAACCCAUCGGCUCCACACUACAGUGACAGUGUGUCUGCUACAGGCCAUAGGUCGCAGUGGUGAUCAUUGUGUUUCAAAGCCCCAAGUGCCACAAAGCAGCUUGAGUAUUCCUAAAUUAUAUUUAAAAACAACUAAAGUGGGGGGGGAAAAGGAGGGGGGAGACGGGUGGGAGAGGGCAGGAGGGGAUUGUGCAUGUAUUGGUGGAUCUUACUUGGGGUUGUAUGAGGAAAGGAGAGAGCAAGAACCAUUGCUCUGAAAGAACUCCAAACUCCAGUUUCUGUGCGCCCCUCUCUUCUCCUCAAGUCCCACACUCUCUCCGCAGGAAUUAAAACAAGUUUUAAUUAAAAAAUAAAAAUAGAAAAACACGCACAGCCAGACAAAAAAAAAAUAAAAAUAAAGACCCCGCUGCAGGGAUGAGAAGUAUAUUUCUCCCUGUAUGUCAGCUCCAACAAUCCCAUCCUCCAUGGGACCAGGUGCCUCUCCAAAGAGAUCCCUCGGCGUGUGAGGACCACUUGGAACAGGGAAGGCUGGCACUUCUCCCAACAGCCAGAAAAGAAACCGCAGAGAAGCCACCCAAGGAAAGGAAGCCCGAGUCAAUGAUUAGGCUGUUGCCACAAUUCCCCUCACAGCUUAAAAUGUGUUUAAUGCUUGAGAAAAUAAAUUCCAUUAUAAUAAUAAAAAUCAGACUUCUACCAUCAAGUGUGGCUGGAAUCUGAUUCCCUCCUGGCCCAUAAGGCUCCUGAAAAGAACAAAAUCAAAAAAAAAAAUACUUCACCCACCCACCACCAACCCCUGCCCUCAGAAAAAAAGGAGAGCAAAGUUUAAAUUUAUAUGGCUAGAAACCAUAUGAUUUGAAAACAAUAUUAUAAAAAAAAAAAAA